rnacentral:lncRNA from 1 species
UCGCCUCCUUGUGCCGCUGGCCCCGUCGCCACCCCUACGGGCCGCCUGUCCCGCAUGCAGCCCUGCACCGCCGGCUCCAUUGUUAUUGAACAAGAUUUUUUUUCUCGAAAUGUUGAUCUUUUGUUGAAAAAUGUUGAAUCCAUUUUGCUAUGAUGUUGAAAUAAGCAUUGAAAAAUGUUAAAUGCAAUAAAUUUUUAAAAAAUGUUGAAUUUACUAUUUUGAAAUGUUAAACUAUUUAAAAAAAUAUUGAAUCUAUUUUAUAAAAUCUUGAAGUUAGAUCUUUAAUUUAAUUUGGGGAGGA